AAAAAUAAGCAUCACAAUCCAUAAUUGCUAUGUUUUAACUUACUUUGUAGAGUCGGCCUUUGAUUUAACGUAUCAGUUAAUUAGGUAAAAUAAUUACAGUUUUCUAUUAAAUAGAUAUUCUAGACAUAUGGCAGAUCUUAAUGGGAAAAUAUGAAGAUUGGUAACCAUGCUGCAGAUGAUACUGCUGCUCAGAGCCAAUUUAAGAUGUAAUUUUUAACAAGUUACUUUUACUUUACUAGACCCCAAAGUACUGUCAUUACUUAGCUCGUUCCUCACAAGCUCAUAGAAGUUUGGUAUCAUUGAGUAUGACAGGAUAAUAUGAUGCACUCUAUUUUUCCAGAAUAUAAAAAUAAAUGUUUAAGAAAUAAGCUAUCAUCAAACGUAUAAAAGAAAGAAUUUUGAUGGCCUUAUCGUGAAUUGAUUAAACAUGAGAAGAACUUUGGAAACAAAUGCAGAUUUGUUAGCAUCACCACAUGGCAUGUAUAAUAUUUUUCUGAAAGAAAACAGAACUAUGAAAACAUCUAUUCCCUUUAGGCAGAUUUGAUUUGAAUACAGAAAUAUACCUUCAACUGUUAGAAUGCUCUGACUUUUAAAGCAACAUAUUAUCUUCUGGUGACAUACUUUAAAUCCAUACAUUGAGGGGGAGAAAAAAAAAAAGGAAAGCUCCAACUUCUAUCAAUGAUUUCUUUACUGCCUAAGCCUUGUUAAAUGGUCAGCUAUUUGGAUCUAGUUCUUCCUAAAUUACAAUCUUGUCCCUGCUCUAUUUGUUGCAAAGGUCAAUGUUCCUUCUUCCCAGAUACGCACCGACAUUAAGACAAACGUAUGGUUUCUACAGCACUUCUAACUCCAUUUCUGCACUAUGAACUUUUGCUUCAGAUUUUUGAAUCUGUAGAGCACAAUUAACCAGUACAGCCUUCAAAGGAAGCAUACUUUUGCAAGCAUAGCUGUUCUGGAAAAUGUGCCAUCCCCACUCAGUAGUCAGUGUGGGAUGUUUCCCCUGUUGCUUCCUUUCAUUUUUAGCUGUUCCUCAUCUCCAGUCACAACAGCCUGAGCAGAGAUUUUUGUAUAUCUCAUUGGUGGCAGUUUCAUUCAGAUCGCAUUCUUGUAUUUUCCUUAGGUUCAUAAUCUUUAGUUCUGAAAAAAAUUAUUACUUCUGUGUUUGUGAUAUGUGGUAUACUGAUCGAACAUGUAUAAUACUCUGGUAAGUAGAUGAUGACUUAUAGCACUGACCAGAAUACUUUUAGUACACUUAAAGCUCCUCACUGUUUAUUUUACUUAUUUAUGUACUGGGGGUUAUGUACUUAACCAGCUUGCACUGCCCUAUAUUUAGUUCUUGUUCUUUUUUUUUCUCAUCAAAACCAGCAUCAUACAUGUAUGUUAUUUUUUUUUAUUAAGAUAAAUUCUGCCUCCUCAGACAUUGGAUAUGCAACUUCUGAAGAUCUCAAAAGUUCUCAACUUGUCAAGUACUUUGAAUUUCAAUCUGCAAGUAUUGUAGCACUGUUCUGUACAAGACAAAAUCAGUUAACUAACAUAGAUCUGCCAUAUGGCAAGUCAAAGAACAAUGUUGGUCCACAUGUGAUCAGUAACAAUGGCUGGACUUGGGUGUUUGGAAGGACUAAGAGACCAGGACAGAGUACCUUAAUUACUCUCCCUGAGAUGGAAGGAUGUUGCUGAUGAGAAAAGAAAAUUGAAGUGUA